UUUCCGUAGGUGAACCUGCGGAAGGAUCAUUGUCGAAACCUGCCCAGCAGAACGACCCGCGAACUUGUAUAAACAACCGGGGGCGGGGGGCGUUCUCGCCCCGUGCCCCCGAACGGCGGGGAGACACUCGUGCCUUCUUGCCGAACAACGAACCCCGGCGCGGUCUGCGCCAAGGAACUUCAACUAAAGAGUGCCUCCGGUCGCCUCGGAAACGGCGUGCGUGCCGGGGGCGAAUCUUGUGCAAAACCAUAACGACUCUCGGCAACGGAUAUCUCGGCUCUCGCAUCGAGGAAGAACGCAGC
rnacentral:misc_RNA from 1 species